rnacentral:ncRNA from 1 species
GGUCCGCAGCGAUUCUGACGUGCAAAUCGAUCGUCUGAGCUGGUGUAUAGGGGCGAAAGACUAAUCGAACCAUCUAGUAGCUGGUUCCAUCCGAAGUUUCCCUCAGGAUAGCUGGCGCCGAUGUGUCCCGCCCGUUCGCGGGCGUACGGACGCCGGUGGGACUCCGCGCUGUACGGCGCGGUAACAACACGCUCGUAACACGGAGGAUGUCUCAUACGGUAAAGCGAAUGAUUAGAGGACAUUGGGGCCGAAACGACCUCAACCUAUUCUCAAACUAUAAAUGAGUGAGAUCGCCGGCUUUACCUGGUACACCGCGUGAACCGCGUGCGAAGCCGGCGACGGAACCCUAGGCGCUUAGUGGGCCAUUUUUGGUAAGCAGAACUGGCGCUGCGGGAUGAACCGAACGCCGAGUUAAGGCGCCGAAAUCGACGCGUAUUCAGAGACCAUGAAAGGCGUUGGUUGCUGAUGACAGCAGGACGGUGGCCAUGGAAGUCGGAAUCCGCUAAGGAGUGUGUAACAACUCACCUGCCGAAGCAACUAGCUCUGAAAAUGGAUGGCGCUGGAGCGUCGUGCCUAUACUCGGCCGUCGACGGCAUAGUGGGGCCAGUCGUCGCUCGCGGCGGCCGGUCCCGGCAAGCCUCGACGAGUAGGAUGGCGCGGCGGUGUGCGUCGAAGGGCAGGUCGCGAGACCGCCUGGAGCCGCCGUCGGUGCAGAUCUUGGUGGUAGUAGCAAAUACUCGAGAGGGGCCCUCGGGGGCUGCCGUGGAGAAGGGUUUCUUGUGAACAGCCGUUGUCCAAGAGUCAGUCGAUCCUAAGCCCGGGGAGAGAUCCUCGUACCACGGGCGAAGGCGUUUUCGAAUCGCCCUUGGGGCGAGAGGGAAUCCGGUUCGUAUUCCGGAACCCGACGCGGAAUCGCUCUCUAGUGUUCGGGGCUCUUUUGUCUCGUCUGGGUAACCAGAAUGAACUCGAAGAAGCCGCCGGGGGAUCUGGGUAGAGUUCUCUUUUCUCUGUGAGCGUUGUACGUCCCUGGAAUCCUCUAGCUGGG